GGGGUCCUAGGCAGCAGUUGCAGUGUGUCUUUACUGACUGUAUGCUGCAGCUGGCCUGUAUGAACCUAGACUAUAGCAGGAGGGGAGUGACAGUCCCUCUUGGCAGUUGCAGGUGUGAGCAUGCAUCCAGCUGUCUGAUGCUCAUGUAUGAUACUGCACACAAAC
rnacentral:scRNA from 1 species